GGACCCGUCUUGAAACACGGACCAAGAAGUCUAACAUGUGUGCAAGUCAUUGGGUUUGCAAUAUCUAUUGAAACCUAAAGGCGUAAUUAACUUAACUGUAAUUUAAUGGGAUUAUUAUGUAUAAAUUUUAUUUAUACAGAAUCCAUCCCGGGGCGUUCCAUACAGUUAUGUAUCUUAAUAUAUAUGAAUUUUUUUUUGUGUUUAUUAUUGAUACCUCUAACUGGAGCGUACCUUGAGCAAAUAUGUUGUGACCCGAAAGAUGGUGAACUAUACCUGAUCAGGUCGA
rnacentral:rRNA from 1 species